CCUACGGGAGGCAGCAGUGGGGAAUAUUGCACAAUGGGCGAAAGCCUGAUGCAGCAACGCCGCGUGAGCGAUGAAGGCCUUCGGGUCGUAAAGCUCUGUCCUCAAGGAAGAUAAUGACGGUACUUGAGGAGGAAGCCCCGGCUAACUACGUGC
rnacentral:rRNA from 1 species